AGCGGCGGCCAAACUCUGCCCCGCUCCCUCGCCCUCCGCGCCCGCCUCGGCGGGAUGCGCGGAGGGAGCGCGCGGGGCGGCGGCCAGGUGCUGCGCGGUCCCCGGUGCGGCCGCCGGCAUCGCGCGGGGGACGAGCCCCAGGCAAAACCUGGAGGACCCAAAGUUAAGCGAGAGCCGGCGCAUCCGCGCAGGCGGCGGGGGUGCGGGCGUCGCAUCGCGGCAGAGGCGAGGCUGGGGCGGCUGCACAUAUUUGGCCUGCGGGGAAAUGGCUUGUACCAGCUCACCUGGUAUCCUAUCUCUUCACUGAAAAGGGAUUGGAAAGGAAGGCUAAAUUCCAUGUAUGUGACGGCAAGUCCCCAACCAACCCCUUUCACAAACAGCCUUUUGCAGAGCUCUUCAGACUUACGGCCCCUCUUGCUUCAUUCUUUGUGCCUCUGUGUCUUUCUGUUUCGUGGGAAGGUUGUUCUUCCAGUGUCGGUGCUCGCCAAGUCUCUCCGCUCGGAGCUCACCCCUGCACGUAAUCCAGCUGACGAGCAGCAGGAGGGUUGUCUUGGUACUCCAGCUCAUCGGCAGUGCAUGAGUCAAAUUAAAUCAACAGCCCGAGCCGCUUGGGGCUGGCACGGCAUCCCGUUUCUCGCGCCGUGGGCGACUCCGAUGCUCUGUGCUCGUGCAACAGCCCAGCGCUCGCGCUCCCGCUCGCUCCCCUUUUCCUGCCACGUCCAAAAUGCGCUGUCAUCCAGCGGCACAUCCCACCUCUUCGCCCUGCCCCCACCCCCAGCCCUCUUUAAAGAGACAAUAUGAUUUCUUUAUCUCCCGGUGCCGGCCCUGCCUGGGGUGUGCAGAGGCACAGAUAACAUUGCCGCUGUCCACCCCAGGGGCUGGUGGGGGCCAGCAGGAUCCCUUUCCCUGACCCGUUGGCUUGCCCCUUCCUUGCUCACGUGAUGCGGAGCAGGGAGCCGGGACCUCUCCUCUCCCCCAAGGCUCAGCAGAUGACAGCCCUGAUUUAUUCCCUGCUAUUCCUCCCCCCGCCACCUCCCCUUAGCGCUCGCUGGUACAGAAGGAUCCUGUCGUCGUUUCCGCUGUGUUAGCAAAUUGUCCUACAACCCUUCAAAGUCCACGGCGGGUGGACGAUUAGGCAAGGCAGUUAAGGAAGGAUCAGCAGGCAGGAACAAACACGCAGCACCUUGGCGAUGUCCGGGCACUACCUUGCUGGCAACGCAGCAGCAACAGGAGGCCCUCGAAGGAGUACACAUGUUUCGCUGGUCUUGGAGGGACCGUGGAGUCUCUUUUUAGAAAGCCCAGUGGGAGAAAGACAAGUUCAAACUGCAGUGCAAAAGCUGACAGAGAAGUGAGGCCAGUCACAAAAGAGCAGUUUAUAGUGUUCCGAGGAAGUUAGGGAGAAACUUGAUUCAUCCCUAAACUGUAAAUGGGUAUUCAGGGUUCCCAUUUCUUUGGGUCGGUUUAUCUAGGUGAAUAAUACAUCUGGCCCCGUAGAUACUUAUAUCUAAAAUACUGGAUACUAAAUAUCCAGUAUUUAUGUAUAAAUUUGAAAUUGCUCUUGCUAAAAUCACAGAAGAAAGAACAAAGUUUUACUACUGCUAACCAAGCAUAUUGAUUGAUACCCACACCCAAUGCCACAGAAAGAUCAUUCCAUUUUCCUUUGGUAUUUCAAGAUGGAAAAAUAAAGCCUGGCAUUUUUCAAUUCUAUGAAGAAGA
rnacentral:lncRNA from 1 species